rnacentral:rRNA from 1 species
UACGGAGGAUGCAAGCGUUAUCCGGAAUGAUUGGGCGUAAAGCGUCCGCAGGUGGCUGUGUAAGUCUGCUGUCAAAGAGCGAAGCUCAACUUCGUAAAGGCAGUGGAAACUACACGGCUAGAGUGCGUUCGGGGCAGAGGGAAUUCCUGGUGUAGCGGUGAAAUGCGUAGAGAUCAGGAAGAACACCGGUGGCGAAGGCGGUCUGCUGGGCAGUUGCUGACACUGAGGCGCGACAGCGUGGGGAGCAAACAGG